rnacentral:rRNA from 1 species
GAUGAACGCUGGCGGCGUGCCUAAUACAUGCAAGUCGAACGCAUUGUGGUUGAAAUGAUAUGAAGAACUUGUUCAGAUUUGAUUUUCAACAUUGCAAUGAGUGGCGAACGGGUGAGUAACACGUGGGAAACCUACCUCUUAGCAGGGGAUAACAUUUGGAAACAAAUGCUAAUACCGUAUAAUAAUUAAAACCGCAUGGUUUUAGUUUAAAAGAUGGUCUUGCUAUCACUAAGAGAUGGUCCCGCGGUGUAUUAGUUAGUUGGUGAGGUAAUGGCUCACCAAGACAAUGAUACAUAGCCGAGUUGAGAGACUGACCGGCCACAAUGGGAUGAGACACGGCCCAUACUCCUACGGGAGGCAGCAGUAGGGAAUCUUCCACAAUGGACGAAAGUCUGAUGGAGCAACGCCGCGUGUGUGAUGAAGGGUUUCGGCUCGUAAACACUGUUGUAAGAGAAGAAUGACAUUGAGAGUAACUGUUCAAUGUGUGACGGUAU